CAAACCGACACAGGUGGUCAGGUAGAGAAUACCAAGGCGCUUGAGAGAACUCGGGUGAAGGAACUAGGCAAAAUGGUGCCGUAACUUCGGGAGAAGGCACGCUGAUAUGUAGGUGAAGUCCCUCGCGGAUGGAGCUGAAAUCAGUCGAAGAUACCAGCUGGCUGCAACUGUUUAUUAAAAACACAGCACUGUGCAAACACGAAAGUGGACGUAUACGGUGUGACGCCUGCCCGGUGCCGGAAGGUUAAUUGAUGGGGUCAGCGCAAGCGAAGCUCUUGAUCGAAGCCCCGGUAAACGGCGGCCGUAACUAUAACGGUCCUAAGGUAGCGAAAUUCCUUGUCGGGUAAGUUCCGACCUGCACGAAUGGCGUAAUGAUGGCCAGGCUGUCUCCACCCGAGACUCAGUGAAAUUGAACUCGCUGUGAAGAUGCAGUGUACCCGCGGCAAGACGGAAAGACCCCGUGAACCUUUACUAUAGCUUGACACUGAACAUUGAGCCUUGAUGUGUAGGAUAGGUGGGAGGCUUUGAAGUGUGGACGCCAGUCUGCAUGGAGCCGACCUUGAAAUACCACCCUUUAAUGUUUGAUGUUCUAACGUGGACCCGUGAUCCGGGUUGCGGACAGUGUCUGGUGGGUAGUUUGACUGGGGCGGUCUCCUCCUAAAGAGUAACGGAGGAGCACGAAGGUUGGCUAAUCCUGGUCGGACAUCAGGAGGUUAGUGCAAUGGCAUAAGCCAGCUUGACUGCGAGCGUGACGGCGCGAGCAGGUGCGAAAGCAGGUCAUAGUGAUCCGGUGGUUCUGAAUGGAAGGGCCAUCGCUCAACGGAUAAAAGGUACUCCGGGGAUAACAGGCUGAUACCGCCCAAGAGUUCAUAUCGACGGCGGUGUUUGGCACCUCGAUGUCGGCUCAUCACAUCCUGGGGCUGAAGUAGGUCCCAAGGGUAUGGCUGUUCGCCAUUUAAAGUGGUACGCGAGCUGGGUUUAGAACGUCGUGAGACAGUUCGGUCCCUAUCUGCCGUGGGCGCUGGAGAACUGAGGGGGGCUGCUCCUAGUACGAGAGGACCGGAGUGGACGCAUCACUGGUGUUCGGGUUGUCAUGCCAAUGGCACUGCCCGGUAGCUAAAUGCGGAAGAGAUAAGUGCUGAAAGCAUCUAAGCACGAAACUUGCCCCGAGAUGAGUUCUCCCUGACCCUUUAAGGGUCCUGAAGGAACGUUGAAGACGACGACGUUGAUAGGCCGGGUGUGUAAGCGCAGCGAUGCGUUGAGCUAACCGGUACUAAUGAACCGUGAGGCUUAACCUU
rnacentral:rRNA from 1 species